rnacentral:miRNA from 1 species
GACGUCAAAUAUCGACGUCAUAAACACCUAAGUUGAUCGUGUUUUUGACGUCGAAUAUCGACGUCAUAAACACCUAAGUUGAUCGUAUUUAUGACGUCGUAUAUCGACGUCAUAAACACCAAAGUUGAUCGUGUUUAUGACGUCGAAUAUCGACGUC